ensembl:lncRNA
AGAUCCACGAAAUGCCAACCACAGGGAAUCACAAAUUUGAUGAUGUAGCUUCUGUAUGGGUAUCCAUGGGUUGCAUGGGUAUAAAAUGUUUCGGAUUUAAAGGAUAAGUAAUCAACCAAAUUCUUGCAAGUGGUCAGUUGGCUCUGCAGACUGCAGAUAAGGGAAGAAGCAAAGAAAAAUGUUGCUGCCCUAUAUAUCGGAAAGAUCUCCCUUCACAGAAUCAGCUGUCACAGAACUUGGAUCAGCCCUCUUCAUAAAGGCCUCAGCUAAGAGAACAAAACCACGCAGCUCACUCAAGACCAUGCUGGGAAUUGUACUUCUCAACUGUCACCACUGUGUGCCUUUGACACUCUUUGGACUACAAAGAGUGUGGGGAACAAGAAAAGGCCAUCAGAUGCAAGUCUUCCAGCCCCUUUCCAGGUAGGUCCAUCUUUAACUUGCUGAAGUUUGGUGCUCCCCAGUACAUACACAUAAUUCUGCUUUCAUCUGCAAGAAGCUUCUGUCAAAGAGAGGUGGAUUCCAGAGGUUGAAGAGGUUAAAAUAAAUGAAGAAUGCAUUUAACUUCAAGAACUUAAGUAAUUCCACUGGAACCAAUAAGACUAUUCAGAGCAGGGACUGGUUCCAAAGCAGUUAUGUUGACAGUGAAGUUGCAGUAUCUUAUUAUAUUUCUGGUAGAAUAUGACAGCCCAAGAGCCAUGACGUUACACAGUACUUCUAGGAUCCUAAGCAUGGCUGCAGCAUUAUAGAGGAUUGUCCUGGUAUAUCUUCAUCAACUACAUCAAGGCUUCUUUUGCCAGAAGAAAUAAAGAAUAUUCUGAAACUACAGAGAGUUCAUAGGCAAUGGGGCAAUACCACGGAAGGAUUAAGUGAACAAAACUUGCUCUCAGAAGCUGACACUGAAUAAAUCCUGAUGAACCCCACGCACACCUUCCAGGAAUGAGAUGACCUGCACCCAUUCCAAGUAAGAAACUUUUCUCUUUUAGCAGUGGAGGUGCCAAGCAAUUUUAGUGGGAAGCAAAAUCCAGCAACAACCAAAGGACAUUUGUACAGUUUUUUCAGUUUAUUUUAUAGAAUCUCAAAUUGUUGAACCUGGAAAACAUCUCUGGAGAUCAUCUAGUUCACCGCCCUUACUCAAAGAGGAGUCAGCACAGUACUGUGUCCAGUCAGGCUUGAAUAUCUCUGAGAAUAAAGACUUCACAACCUCUUUGGGAACCUCUUUCAGUGUAUUAUCCCAGCAGCACAUCCGUGUAACAUACUAGCCACUCUUCCCAAUUUCGUAUCAUCUGCAGACUUGCUGACUGGCUUGACCAAGCCAAUCACUGAAGAAGGCUAUCAGGUUUGCCAAGAAAGAUUUCCCCUGCAUAAAAUCAUGGUGACUGCUCCCAUUUGACUUGUUGUUCUUCAUAUGUCUGGAAACAAUUCCAGCAUCAUUUGUUCUAUCACUUUCCCGGUGAUCAAGUAUAUGAAAGAGACAGAUGAAGUGGAGCCUAGACAUAUUCUGCUGAAGCCUGUGAAAAAGAGCCUGUCUUGGCCUGCACCUCUAGUGUGGCAAAACAUCAUCCAGACAUCAAAGGGAAGAAGAGAGGAACAAAUACAGGAAGGUAAUUUUCAUGGAAAUCCCCUGAACUGUUUUCAUUCCUCUAGUUUCUGUGAUGAACAUUCAGAAGGUUGCCUCCAAUUUAUCAGUUUGAUGAGGGGAAAGAGAUCACAUUCUCCAAAGCUCUGCUCAUUCCAGACCCCCACAAGAAAUGUCAGUAACCAUGGAAGGAAUGUGCAGAUACUCACAGUGAGGUCACUUCCCAUGGUUGCCACCCACUGGAUCAGGCUGCUCAGUGUCCCAUCCAAACUGGCCUUGGACACCUCCAUGGAAGGGACAUCCUCAGCUUCUCUGGGAAGCCUGUACCUCACCACUCUUAAAAUAAAGAAUUUCUUCCAAAUGUCUAAUCUCAAUCUACACUCUUUUAGUUUUAAACCAUUACCCCUUGUCCUAUCACUGCAUUCUCUGUUAAGGAGUGUCUCUCCAGAUUUCCUAUAGGCCACUUUAGGUACUGAAAGACCACAGUGUGGUCUCCAUGGAGCCUUCUUAAAGCUGAACAAGCCCAACUGUCUCAGCCAGUUUUCACAGAAGAGCUCCCACACUGAAGGAUCUCUGUUCACUACCAUGACAGAACCAUAUACUGACCACAGCAUCUUAUAUGGCCACAGUAGAAACUGCCAAAAGCACAGAUUCUUUUUUGAAGAAUGCCAUCUAGACUGGGUCAAAUUAAUCAAAAUGUAGGUCCUCCUCUUUCUUGGAUACACAAUGGGCAGUGUGUACAGUACAUGAAAUAAAAAAACAGUUCACAUUGUGGUUUUUUGUUUUUUUUUAUCAAUAAGUUCAUGCUUGGUAUAAUGUUGAUAGGUAUCCUUGCCUUAUUUUGACAUGCUUCAAGUGGUGUUGCGAAACAUGAGCACAAAAGUUGACCACAAACAUUGUCACGGUCUUACCUCUAGAACAAUAAUUCCCACAAAAUGUAAUGCCCAUUGAGCAGCAAUACUCAAAUAAAAAGGAAUUUUAUAAACAGAGCUUAGAAAGUCCAUUAACUGGGAUGCAGCAAGUGGGCUUCAGUGAAGACUGGUGCUCUGCAGUUCUUUCAUUGCUGAGGGCAGCAUUACUGGAAACAUCUUCAGUUUAUAUCCCUGUAAACAGAUUUCUGUGCUAAGGAUAAACGAACUGGGAGCUACACUCUCCCCAUGGCUGUUUGGCCAGUAUGAGUCCAUUUCAUCUUGUGUGGGGCAUUUGUGAAAUAGAGCUGCCGAAGCAUUUCCAUGAAAGUCAGUGAUUGCCUAAUCCCUUGCAAGUGUACUCUUCAGAAGUUAGACCAAUUUCGGCUUCUCUUUUAUUUGCGAACAUUGCAGCAAAUCUUUCCUUCUUGUUUUUGGUCUCCAGCCCACUCUAAUUCCAGUGACUCAUACUGUGGUGAAAAUAGGUUAUGUGACAGACAGAAAUGUUGGUUUUACUGUUUCAGAGAUAAAAGAAGUACAGUUUGAGCCCUCUGUGUGUGACCCAAGGUAGCAAGUGCUUAGGUAUUUGCCGCAUGAAGACUAAAUGCAUACAGCUACAAUGUGAGUAGUCUGGCAUGGGAGAAGUGAGGAUGCAUUCUGCAUUGACUUUUCUCCCCAGGAGGGACAGAGAAAUAAGGGAAAGGGAAGAAGAGAAGGGGAUGGCAUCUCUUUAGGUUUCUCUCAACUCCACUUUCCUUAAUGUACAAUACAUACUGAAAUACAUGCUGAAAUGAUUUGGAGAAUGUGCAUCUGUUAUUAAUGUGACAUUUCAGGGCACUGAUAAUUUGACUCUGGAAGUGAUUUUAGUUAGAAGGCCUCAUUAUGUAUCUUUCCCUCACUUGCGGAAGUGGAGUUGUGGUGAAGGAGAUUCUGUGCAAGAAAUGCCAACUACAAGACAGGAGGUCUCAAUAAAUUUACAAGAAAAGUCAAGCUAUGAUUAAAGAUGUGUCAUCGAGCUCUCUCAU